rnacentral:rRNA from 1 species
GGCGACGAUCGGUAGCCGGCCUGAGAGGGUGAUCGGCCACAUUGGGACUGAGAUACGGCCCAGACUCCUACGGGAGGCAGCAGUAGGGAAUAUUGCACAAUGGGGGAAACCCUGAUGCAGCAACGCCACGUGUGGGAAGAAGCAUUUCGGUGUGUAAACCACUGUCAUGAGGGAAUAAGGCCCGUCUUCGGACGGGAUUGAAUGUACCUUGAAAGGAAGCACCGGCAA